rnacentral:rRNA from 1 species
UACGAGGUGGCCCAAGCGUUAUCCGGAAUUAUUGGGCGUAAAGGAUAUGUAGGUGGUUAUAUUAGUCUGGUGUCGUACCUACUGAGCUCAACUUGGAGACAGCAUUGGAAACGGUAUGACUAGAGUAUGUUAGGGGUGAGCGGAACUCAUAGUGUAGGGGUGAAAUCCGUUGAUAUUAUGGGGAACACCAAAAGCGAAGGCAGCUCACUGGGACAUUACUGACACUGAAAUAUGAAAGCGUGGGUAGCGAAUGG